rnacentral:rRNA from 1 species
UACGGAGGAUGCAAGCGUUAUCCGGAAUUAUUGGGCGUAAAGCGUCCGCAGGUGGCCAUGUAAGUCUGCUGUCAAAGCGUCUGGCUCAACCAGAUAAAGGCAGUGGAAACUACAUAGCUAGAGUAAGGUAGGGGUAGAGGGAAUUCCUGGUGUAGCGGUGAAAUGCGUAGAGAUCAGGAAGAACACCGGUGGCGAAAGCGCUCUGCUGGACCUAAACUGACACUGAGGGACGAAAGCUAGGGGAGCGAACAGG